rnacentral:rRNA from 1 species
GACGAACGCUGGCGGCGUGCCUAAUACAUGCAACUAGGACGCAGUUGCGAACGUGUGAGUAACGCGUAGGUAUCUGCCUAUUAGAGGGGGAUAACUAUUGGAAACGAUAGCUAAUACCGCAUACUAGUAGAUGGACCUGCGUUGUAUUGGCUAGUAGGUAGGGUAAUGGCCUACCUAGGCGACGAUACAUAGCCGGCCCGGGGGGGGGAUCGGCCACACUUGGACUGGGACACGGCCCAGACUCCGUCGGGAGGCAGCAGGAGGGAAUCUUCGGCAAAUGGGGGAACCCUGAACGAGCAACGGCGCGUGAGUGAAGAAGGGUUUCGGAUUGGAAAGCUCUUUUGUUAAGGAAGCGGUACCUAACCAGAAAGGGACGGCUAACUACGUGCCAGCAGCCGCGGUAAUUC